rnacentral:rRNA from 1 species
UACCCCGCAGCACAAGUGGUGGUCAUUAUUAUUGGGCCUAAAGCGUCCGUAGCUGGCUUGUUAGAUGCCUGGGUAAAUCGAUGCGCUCAACGCAUCGAACUCCGGGUAGACCGGCAAGCUUGGGACCGGGAGAGGCGUGAGCUACUCGAGGGGUAGGGGGUAAAUCCUGUAAUCCUUCGGGGAGGACCAGUGGCGAAGGCGUCACGCUAGAACGGCUCCGACAGUGAGGGACGAAGCCCUGGGCGGCAA